rnacentral:rRNA from 1 species
AUACGUAGGUGACAAGCGUUAUCCGGAUUUACUGGGCGUAAAGGGCGUGUAGGCGGUCUUGCAAGUCAGAAGUGAAAUUCCUGAGCUCAACUCGGGCGCUGCUUCUGAAACUGCAGGACUUGAGUGCUGGAGGGGAUAGCGGAAUUCCUAGUGGAGCGGUAAAAUGCAGACAUAUUAGGAAGAACACCGGUGGCGAAGGCGGCUAGCUGGCCAGUCACUGACUCUGCGGUGGGAAAGCGUGGGUGGCAAACAGGAUUAGAUACACUGGUAGUCCACGCCGGAAACGAUGAAUACUAGGUGUAGGGGGUAGCGACCCCCUCGGUGCCGCAGUUAACACAAUAAGCAUUCCGCCUGGGGAGUACGGCCGCAAGGCUGAAACUCAAAUGAAUUGACGGGG